rnacentral:rRNA from 1 species
AUGAAAGCAGUUAAGAUUGGGUACAAAUGGUCGGUAGGAAAUGGUAGAUCCAUCCUAUUUUGGGAAGAUAUCUGGUUCGGUAAUGCUUCUCUUGCCACACAAUUCUGGGAUUUGUAUUGCAUUACUAAUAAUAAGACCAAAACCAUAGCAGAAACCUGGGAUGGGAAUACUCUUAGAAUUUCCUUUAGAAGAAAUUUUGAUGAAGAGCUUAUGCAUCAGUGGUUUGACUCGGAAACGAUUGCUCAAUCAAUAGCCUUUGUUGACCAGGAUGAUAGUAUGAUUUGGCAAUAUGAACCAAAAUGCAUUUACUCUUCUAAAUCCUUAUAUGCUAUUGUAAACUUUAGGGGGAUACAACCCAUCUACACACCUACUGUGUGGAACCUGAAGGUCCCACCUAGAAUACAGGAGUUUCUAUGGCUCUUCUCUCAGAACAAAAUUAUGACAUGUGGUAAUCUGAGGAAAAGAGGCAUUCCAAAACCCCUGGAAUGUGUACAUUGCAGCGAAAUAGAAUCGGUUCACCACUUUUUUUUUUUGACUACGUGGUAG